rnacentral:rRNA from 1 species
UACGAAGGGGGCUAGCGUUGCUCGGAAUCAUUGGGCGUAAAGGGUGCGUAGGCGGCGCGGUAAGUCGGGUGUGAAAUCUUGGAGCUUAACUCCGAAACUGCAUUCGAUACUGCCGUGCUUGAGGACUGGAGAGGAGACUGGAAUUUACGGUGUAAGCGGUGAAAUGCGUAGAUAAUCGUAAGGAAGACCAGUGGCGAAGGCGGGUCUCUGGACAGUUCCUGACGCUGAGGCACGAAGGCCAGGGGAGCAAACGGGA